rnacentral:rRNA from 1 species
AUUGAACGCUGGCGGCAGGCCUAACACAUGCAAGUCGAACGAGUGGCGGACGGGUGAGUAAUGUCUGGGAAACUGCCUGAUGGAGGGGGAUAACUACUGGAAACGGUAGCUAAUACCGCAUACCAUUGGAUGUGCCCAGAUGGGAUUAGCUAGUAGGUGGGGUAAAGGCUCACCUAGGCCACGAUCCCUAGCUGGUCUGAGAGGAUGACCAGCACCACUGGACCGGAGCCACGGUCCAGACUCCUACGGGAGGCAGCAGUGGGGAAUAUUGCACAAUGGGCGCAAGCCUGAUGCAGCCAUGCCGCGUGUAUGAAGAAGGCCUUCGGUUUGUAAAGUACUUUCAGCAGGGAGGCGUUACCCGCAGAAGAAGCACCGGCUAACUCCGUGCCAGCCGCCGCGGUAAUAC